UACGGGAGGCAGCAGUGGGGAAUAUUGCACAAUGGGCGCAAGCCUGAUGCAGCCAUGCCGCGUGUAUGAAGAAGGCCUUCGGGUUGUAAAGUACUUUCAGUCGUGAGGAAGGUGUUAAGGUUAAUAACCUUAGCAAUUGACGUUAGCGACAGAAGAAGCACCGGCUAACUCCGUGCCAGCAGCCGCGGUAAUACGGAGGGUGCGAGCGUUAAUCGGAAUUACUGGGCGUAAAGGGCACGCAGGCGGUUAAUUAAGUUGGAUGUGAAAUCCCCGGGCUUAACCUGGGAAUGGCAUUCAAGACUGGUUAGCUAGAGUCUUGUAGAGGGGGUAGAAUUCCAUGUGUAGCGGUGAAAUGCGUAGAGAUGUGGAGGAAUACCGGUGGCGAAGGUGGCCCCUGGGACAAAGACUGACGCUCAUGUGCGAAAGCGUGGGGAGCAAACAGGGAUUAGAUACC
rnacentral:rRNA from 1 species